CCCUUAGAUGUUCUGGGCCGCACGCGCGCUACACUGACAGGGUCAGCGAGUACAUCACCUUGGCCGAGAGGUCCGGGUAAUCUUGUUAAACCCUGUCGUGCUGGGGAUAGAGCAUUGCAAUUAUUGCUCUUCAACGAGGAAUGCCUAGUAGGCACGAGUCAUCAGCUCGUGCCGAUUACGUCCCUGCCCUUUGUACACACCGCCCGUCGCUACUACCGAUUGAAUGGCUUGGUGAGGCCUUCGGACUGGCUCCAGGGGGUUGGCAACGACCCCCCAGAGCCGGAAAGUUGGUCAAACCUGGUCAUCUAGAGGAAGUAAAAGUCGUAACA
rnacentral:rRNA from 1 species